CACGUAGGGAGCAAGCGUUGUCCGGAUUUAUUGGGCGUAAAGAGCUCGUAGGUGGUUCGGUAAGUCAGGUGUGAAACCUCCAGGCUCAACCUGGAGACGCCACUUGAUACUGCUGUGACUGGAGUCCGGUAGGGGAGCGUGGAAUUCCUGGUGUAGCGGUGAAAUGCGCAGAUAUCAGGAGGAACACCAGCGGCGAAGGCGGCACUCUGGGCCGGUACUGACGCUCAGGAGCGAAAGCGUGGGGAGCAAACAGG
rnacentral:rRNA from 1 species